rnacentral:ncRNA from 2 species
UAUAGUGAAAAGUAAACUUGCUGAAAAGUAAGGACACAAAGCCAUGAGUCUAAGGUAUAAGUACUAUGACAGUCAGGUUGCCAAA